rnacentral:misc_RNA from 1 species
UGAAGACUCAAUUUUCUGUGUCUGAUCAACGUUAAGAAUUACGAUCCGCUUCAAUCGAAUGAUAAGGAAGCAGAAAUAGACGAAAGAAAACCUCCGAAUUCUUCAAUAUGAUGACUCGGUCGUCGUCGGGGCAAAUCAACAUCGCAGCGCGUACGAAGAAACUCGAUGUGGAUAAUCGAAUCGCUUUGAGAAUUUACUAUCGCAUCGCAGAUAAUGUCCUCAAACAGGCUGACAUUUUUCGCGCAGAGGGAGACGUCAUAGAUUUGUAUGUCAUGCUUCUUAGAUACUCAAGUUUGGUCUCUGAGACAAUACCAUGCCAUCGAGAUUAUCG